AGGGGGCUAGCGUUGUUCGGAAUUACUGGGCGUAAAGCGCGCGUAGGCGGYUCNUUCAGUCAGKNGUGAAAKCCCUGGGCUCAACCUAGGAACUGCKUUUGAGACUGCUGGUCUAGAGUCCGGUAGAGGAUAGUGGAAUUCCUAGUGUAGAGGUGAAAUUCGUAGAUAUUGGGAAGAACACCGGUGGCGAAGGCGGCUWCCUGGUCCGGUACUGACGCUGAGGUGCGAAAGCNNGGGGAGCAAACAGGAUUAGAUACCCUGGUAGUCCACGCCGUAAACGAUGAGUGCUAGRUGUCGGGAGGCUUAGACCUCCUCNGUGUCGGAGCUAACGCRUUAAGCACUCCGCCUGGGGAGUACGGCCGCAAGGUUGAAACUCAAAGGAAUUGACGGGGGCCCGCACAAGCGGUGGAGCAUGUGGUUUAA
rnacentral:rRNA from 1 species